GGGCGGUUAGCUCAGUUGGUAGAGCGCUUCGUUUACACCGAAGAUGUCGGCGGUUCGAGCCCGUCACCGCCCA
rnacentral:tRNA from 1 species